UUCAUAAGAAUGAGACAUUUUUUCAAUUCGGAUGGAUAAAAACUACAACUAAAACACCCUAUCAUCUAUUGCAGAUUCCAUCGGACGACCGGGAUAGCGUCGGAGCAGGACACCAAAGAAGAUAGCCCUCGAUGGCGCGCCAGACUCCGUACAGAGGCGCAUCACAUGUCAGCCAUACAUGUAGAGCGGGUGCACGCAGGCGCGCAUAAUGCAACGCAGAGGCAGAGCUCACAGGUCGUCUUCAUAGCGGCAGUGUGACCUGUGAAAUAUAAGAACAAAGGAUUAUGUGUUCCAGUCAGAAGGUAGCGCAGAGGCCAUAACAAGUGACAGGGCAGACAUCCCUAUCAGCUUCUUCACGCGUGCGCUAUGCUGACGUCGAGCAAUAGAAAGCCAGAACCACUAGAAUUUGUUUAAGUAGU